CCUACGUGAGGCAGCAGUAGGGAAUAUUGCUCAAUGGGGGAAACCCUGAAGCAGCAACGCCGCGUGGAGGAUUCAGGUUUUCGGAUUGUAAACUCCUUUUGUUAGAGAAGAUAAUGACGGUAUCUAACGAAUAAGCACCGUCUAACUCCGUACCAGCAGCCGCGGUAAUACGGAGGGUGCAAGCGUUACUCGGAAUCACUGGGCGUAAAGAACGAGUAGGCGGGAUAGCAAGUCAGAUGUGAAAUCCUAUGGCUUAACCAUAGAAAUGCAUUUGAAACUGUUAUUCUAGAGUAUGGGAGAGGUAGGUGGAAUUCUUGGUGUAGGGGUAAAAUCCGUAGAGAUCAAGAGGAAUACUCAUUGCGAAGGCGACCUGCUAGAACAUAACUGACGCUGAUGCGAGAAAGCGUGGGGAGCAAACAGGAUUAGAUACCCGAGUAGUC
rnacentral:rRNA from 1 species